rnacentral:rRNA from 1 species
AGUGAACGCUGGCGGCGUGCUUAACACAUGCAAGUCGAGCGAGAACGGGUUAUAGCUUGCUAUAAUUGUCAGCUAAGUGGCGCACGGGUGAGUAAUGUAUAGGUAAUAUGCCUCUUACUAAGGGAUAACAAAUGGAAACGUUUGCUAAUACCUUAUACUCCUUAUUAACAGAAGUUAAUAAGGGAAAGAUUUAUUGGUAAGAGAUUAGCCUGUAUUGUAUCAGUUAGUUGGUGGGGUAAUGGCUUACCAAGACUAUGACACAUAACUGGUUUGAGAGGAUGAUCAGUCACACUGGAACUGAGACACGGUCCAGACUCCUACGGGAGGCAGCAGUGGGGAAUAUUGCACAAUGGACGAAAGUCUGAUGCAGCAACGCCGCGUGGAGGAUGACACAUUUCGGUGCGUAAACUCCUUUUAUAUGAGAAGAUAAUGACGGUAUUAUAUGAAUAAGCACCGGCUAACUCCGUGCCAGCCGCCGCGGUAA